UACGUAGGGUGCAAGCGUUAAUCGGAAUUACUGGGCGUAAAGCGUGCGCAGGCGGCUUUUUAAGUCUGUCGUGAAAGCCCCGGGCUCAACCUGGGAAUUGCGAUGGAGACUGCAAGGCUUGAAUCUGGCAGAGGGGGGUAGAAUUCCACGUGUAGCAGUGAAAUGCGUAGAGAUGUGGAGGAACACCGAUGGCGAAGGCAGCCCCCUGGGUCAAGAUUGACGCUCAUGCACGAAAGCGUGGGGAGCAAACAGG
rnacentral:rRNA from 1 species